GGUCCGUCUCGGUGGCCUGCGCCUCGCUCUCGCUCUCGCCUCCCUAGCGAUUGCGGAGGAUUCCUCGUCUAUUCUCCCGUUCCUCCGGUCCCUUUCCAUCGAGUCGCCUAGCAUCGAAUUGAUGUUUGCUCCUCCUCGCCUCUGCAUCGCAGAUUCCUCGGCCCGUCCGUCCUUGCGACUCUCGGCGAUGGAUGUUGGAAGGCGAGGGAUACGGAUUCGAUCGGUGUUUCGAUCGAUGGACCUGUCUGGUUUGCGAACUCUGCCUCCCGAGACUGAUUUCUGCGCAUCGCUAGUUUCGAUUUGGGUCGCCCGUGUUCGUCGGUUGCAGGACUGGAUAUAGUUUCCGACUCCGCGUAGCGAGGCCUGCGACGGAGGUUGAGACAGGUCAGUUUCUCGUGCUCGGCCAUAUCGGUUCAUUGGUUCCGUCACCCCCUGCGUCUAUGGAUUUCAGAUUUCCAUCCAAUCUGCUCCCUGCCUAUAUGGAUCAUGAACUCCGUCGUCCGUUGAACCGAGGUGUGGAUUCAACGCCCUUGUCGGUUUCUUAUUGUAAAAACUGAGUUUGUGGAAUGUGUUCCUCUGCUCCUUAUUUAGAUGCAACAGCAGGAUGGUGAUCGUCCUGGAGAGAUGAAUCGGCGCGUGGAGGUUAUUGUUCACCUAUUUUGGCAUGGUCAGAUUUCCAGAGGUGGUGCUAGAUUGAAGUUGCAUAGGAUUGCUCAUCAUAGGAUCGGAGCCCUGGUUGGGAUUUGUGUUUGGAUAUUCUCUCCUCCCCUCCUCAAUUUAGUUCUCUUGGUUUUCACUAAUAUCCGUCGAUCCUUACAUGGGGACUAUUAAUAAUUCUCCAGAGCCUAAAUUUAUAAGGAUCAGAAUAUCAGACCACCGUAGGAUUGGGAAGCUUCUGUUCUGCGUUUUGGAUAGCCCCUCUCAAACUGAACUUCAUUCCCUGUACUUUGAAAGAUUGAUCAAUUCCGAUUUUGGACUUCUCUGGCUCUCCAGAAAUUAAAAUACACAGAUUGGACCAGUGAUCGUAGGAUUCGGAAACUUCCGUUCUGCCUAUGGAUAACCCAGCCCCCAAACUCAACUUCCUUCUCUGUAGUUUGUUUUUGUUCCCAAACUUGUGACGAUUUUUGCUGGUCUUCAGAAAUUGGAGUAAUAUACAUCUUAGUGGGAGCCCAGGAGGUCUAUUUUGGUUCAGCGUUCCUUAUUGGAUCUUACUUUUCAAACUUAAUUAAUUCUUCGAUGAUACAUCAGCUUUUUCCCUUCGUCAGUAACACUAAACUCUUGCAGAUAUUGCCACAGAAGGUAAUUUGCAGUUUAAAACAGCGGCCAUCGUCUGCCUGAUCCCUGCCUAUGCUUGAUUCACUAUCACCCUCAGCGUUUGAUGCAUACUUUUUUCUAUUUUCUUAAGCUCUGGCGCCCUUAACUAGAAAUUCAUAGGGCGGUCUCUUGCUAUUACAGGUUCUAGUUGCCGAAUUCAAGUCUGACCCGAUGAUGAGUACAACCUGUUUCAGGAUUUUUUUUAAAUUACUCAACUUCUCUUCUCAAUUCAUCAUAAAUUUUAUGGUGAUAAAAUUAUCUUAUAGAACAAUAUUUGGACAUUCAGAUUGAUCUGCACUCUGAAGAUGAUCUAGAGCUUCAAAUUAACGUCACCCAACAACUGAGAAAACACCGUUCUCUCUAUUUCAAUUUAUGUCCCUCUUAUUUAGAGUCCAUCUGUUUGUUUAUUUUAGUUAGUUGCCUCUGUUCAUAGCUUUAAUUAAGGUUUAUUGUUUCUGCCCAACAUAUUGCAGAUCCUUUUCACCCGGGACAUACCUGCUAGCUUGGUAGUGGCAUCAAAUCUGUUAAAUCGUUUGGUUUGGUAUCUAUCUCUUUGUAGUUUUAUUCGUUGUAUGUACGCCCGGUCUAUUAGUCUGCUAUGCUUGGCUGCAGGAUAUAAGUCGGAAGUUGGACCUACCUGGGUUUUGUAAGUGGAGUAAGGUUAGUGUUCCGUGGGCAGUCUGUUCGGUUCAUUAGUGUUCGCCUCGACCAUGCAUUGGUUGCAGGAGUGUGAUCUUAUCUGGAACUAGAUAUUAGUCAUCACAUGGCAAAGAGAACAUGAGGAGGUCAGUUUCCCGUGCUCCAUCAGAUCAGUUCGUUGGUUGUGUUACUUAUUUUUCGGUGAUUACAGAUGAAUAUAGAUUAGCAGUGUAAUGCUCUGGACUCCCUGGCAUUCUCUUCUGGUGGCCAUGUCCCUUGAUCUGAGGUUGAUUCGAGGCCCUGCGUUGAUUAUAUUAUUGUAACAGCUGAUCUCGCUUCUGGUAUUUGUUUGUGCUCCUUGAGAUGCACAGGAGGACAAUGGUUGUUGAUAGAUGAAUUGGAGGAUGGAGGUUUGCUUGCUGCUCAA